rnacentral:rRNA from 1 species
GAUGAACGCUAGCGGCAGGCCUAACACAUGCAAGUCGAGGGGUAACUAGAGUGAUAGCAAUAUUACUUUGGCUAGACCGGCGCACGGGUGCGUAACACGUAUGCAACCUACCUUAUACUGGGGAAUAACUUCGAGAAAUCAGCGCUAAUACCCCAUAACACUGCGGAGAGGCAUCUCUUUGCAGUUAAAGCUCCGGCGGUAUAAGAUGGGCAUGCGUCCAAUUAGCUAGUUGGUGAGGUAACGGCUCACCAAGGCUACGAUUGGUAGGGGUUCUGAGAGGAUGAUCCCCCACACUGGUACUGAGGCACGGACCAGACUCCUACGGGAGGCAGCAGUGAGGAAUAUUGCGCAAUGGACGAAAGUCUGACGCAGCCAUGCCGCGUGCAGGAUGACGGCCCUAUGGGUUGUAAACUGCUUUUGUACGGGAAUAAACCCUUCUACGUGUAGGAGGCUGAAGGUACCGUAAGAAUAAGCACCGGCUAACUCCGUGCCAGCCGCCGCGGUAA